ACUUAACAAUAUAACCUUCCUUAAAUCUUUCUAUUGGUCUGGGUUGGUUUGCUUGUGAGAUUUGUCAGUUCCAUAUCUCUUUUACUUAUGAGACAAAUUGGCGCAUUGCGUUUAACUAUCCAGCAGCAUUAGCUACUUCAACAGAUGUUUUUAUCAGGAAUUAUGAGCUAGUAGCCUCUGUAAUGAGAGAAGGUUUCAGAUCACAGAUACAUAUGCACACCCACCCAAACAAAGAAGAGGCAGGAAACAAUUACUCUGUGGUACUCGUACAGGAUUGAGCCUGAUUCUUCAAACAAUGCAACUUACAUCAGUUUCCCUUCAUGUCUGUCAAUCUGCCAUCUUGCGACAUUAUUUCAGGAGUCAGGACCUUUCUACUCCCUCUGUGAUAUCAAAAAGCAAAGCCUGCCAAAACUGCAGCCGCGUUGGGUUUCAAUGGCAGCCC